GUCUUACACUGACUGAACACACACACAAGUCCAGCAUCCUGAAGGAUACUUCUCCAUAAACACUGCACUGGAUAAUAGCCUACUACAUUUCCUCUCAUCACAGGUGAUAUUUUCAACAUGAUUUUAAAAUAUUAAUGCGUGUUUAGGGCAAAAAAAUAAUUUAACUAUACUCUACUGAGGAACUUUGUCAUUACACAUUUCGAUUAUGGAUUUGAUCACUGAUUAUUUGAACUUUUAAUGAAAUACUUGAAUUGCUGUUGUGUCACUCCAAAGAAGAGAUUAAAUGAGUAAACGCAUGAAGACAGGAGAGAGAGAUGGAAACACACACCAGUGGGAAUGUAAACCUCGUCAGACGGAGGAGCUUGGAUGAUUUAAGACCGAACUUCUCUACUGUAAAGUGUCCUCCUGAUGGAUCUCAGAAGACCAAAUAUCAGCCGCUAAAGUCUCUGGACUCUGGAUCUCCUGACUCCAUCUCUACUCAUGAUGUCAAAGGAUGAUAAACAGAGACUCUUCCUCUGCUUCUCCGUUCUUUACACGUUUACUGCACCUUCAUCGCCUCAUUUUGCUGCUACAUGUUGUUGUUGUUGUUGUAUUAUAGUUUUGUUCUAAAUCUAAAGUGUUAUUUAAAAUCAUAUUUUGCAUCACAUGCAUAUGUUACUUACAUUCUUGUUAUAAAAAGCAAUCUGUCUUUUUGAAAUCUGUGUUAAAAAAAAAUGUGCACAUGCACAUGAUACACACUUUAUUGUGUGUAAUGCACACACACCCCACACUACUGAACCUACACAUGUGACAUGACUCUACAAAUUCUACAAACUCUAUAGAUCGCGUGAUAAACACAAUGUGUGCUAUAGAACCGUGAGCACAGGGUUGUUACACACACAUCAUAGACCCUCAGUUACACUUCUAAAGUUUCUCAGAAGCAGAAGUCGUCAUAGUUGGGUAAACUUCUCUCUAUAUAUUUUUGAGUUCCAAUUUGCUCAACUCCACAACUUUCUGAAAAGUGUUUUCACAAAUUUCAGAAUUAGAAAAAAGAAGAAGAUGAGAGAAUUGAUAAAGCCAGUCGGAGGAAAGAAAUACCCUCUCAACGUUAACUAGUUUCUGCUAAUUUCAUGCCAAAUGUAAUAUAAUUCAAAUAGUUUUAUACACACAUGUUUAGAAAAUGAAAGGGAUUUACGAUGCUGAUGACCGUUAAACUGCUAAAAUGUUCUGUUUCCACACAGUUGCAUUAAAAAUGCAGUUAUUGAAAUAAAA